AUUGAACGCUGGCGGCAUGCCUUACACAUGCAAGUCGAACGGCAGCACGGGAGCAAUCCCGGUGGCGAGUGGCGAACGGGUGUGUAAAGUAUCGGAACGUGCCCAGUCGUGGGGGAUAACGUAGCGAAAGUUACGCUAAUACCGCAUACGAUCUAUGGAUGAAAGCGGGGGAUCGCAAGACCUCGCGCGAUUGGAGCGGCAGAUAUCAGAUUAGGCAGUUGGUGGGGUAAAGGCUCACCAAGCCGACGAUCUGUAGCUGGUCUGAGAGGACGACCAGCCACACUGGGACUGAGACACGGCCCAGACUCCUACGGGAGGCAGCAGUGGGGAAUUUUGGACAAUGGGCGCAAGCCUGAUCCAGCCAUGCCGCGUGCAGGAUGAAGGCCUUCGGGUUGUAAACUGCUUUUGUACGGAACGAAAAGGUUUGACUUAAUACGUUGGACUCAUGACGGUACCGUAAGAAUAAGCACCGGCUAACUACGUGCCAGCCGCCGCGGUAA
rnacentral:rRNA from 1 species